rnacentral:rRNA from 1 species
AUUGAACGCUGGCGGCAGGCUUAACACAUGCAAGUCGAACGAGUGGCGGACGGGUGAGUAAUGCUUGGGAAUCUAGCUUAUGGCGGGGGAUAACUUCUGGAAACUGUAGCUAAUACCGCAUACCAUCGGAUGAGCCCAAGUGGGAUUAGCUAGUUGGUGAGGUAAAGGCUCACCAAGCCGACGCUCCCUAGCUGGUCUGAGAGGAUGACCAGCCACACUGGAACGGAGACACGGCCCAGACUCCUACGGGAGGCAGCAGGGGGGAAUAUUGCGCAAUGGGCGCAAGCCUGACGCAGCCAUGCCGCGUGAGUGAAGAAGGCCUUCGGGUUGUAAAGCACUUUCGGUAGGGAGGCGUUACCUGCAGAAGAAGCACCGGCUAACGCCGUGCCAGCAGCCGCGGUAAUUC